AUUGAACGCUGGCGGCAUGCUUUACACAUGCAAGUCGAUCGGUAACAGGUUAAGCUGACGAGUGGCGAACGGGUGAGUAAUGCAUCGGAACGUGCCCGGUCGUGGGGGAUAACGCAGCGAAAGCUGCGCUAAUACCGCAUACGAUCUGAGGAUGAAAGCGGGGGACCGUAAGGCCUCGCGCGAUCGGAGCGGCCGAUGUCAGAUUAGGUAGUUGGUGGGGUAAAGGCUCACCAAGCCAACGAUCUGUAGCUGGUCUGAGAGGACGACCAGCCACACUGGGACUGAGACACGGCCCAGACUCCUACGGGAGGCAGCAGUGGGGAAUUUUGGACAAUGGGCGAAAGCCUGAUCCAGCAAUGCCGCGUGCAGGAAGAAGGCCUUCGGGUUGUAAACUGCUUUUGUACGGAGCGAAAAGGUCUCCUCUAAUACAGGGGGCUCAUGACGGUACCGUAAGAAUAAGCACCGGCUAACUACGUGCCAGCAGCCGCGGUAA
rnacentral:rRNA from 1 species